rnacentral:rRNA from 1 species
GAUGAACGCUAGCGGGAGGCCUAAUACAUGCAAGUCGAACGGUAACAGGAUAGCAAUAUCGCUGACGAGUGGCGCACGGGUGAGUAACACGUACACAACCUGCCUCAUACUGGGGCAUAGCCUCGGGAAACUGAGAUUAAUUCCCCAUAAUAUUACGACAUGGCAUCAUGUUGCAAUUAAAGAAUUUCGGUAUGAGAUGGGUGUGCGUCUGAUUAGCUAGUUGGCGGGGUAACGGCCCACCAAGGCAACGAUCAGUAACUGGUCUGAGAGGAUGAUCAGUCACACGGGCACUGAGACACGGGCCCGACUCCUACGGGAGACAGCAGUAGGGAAUAUUGCGCAAUGGGCGAAAGCCUGACGCAGCAACGCCGCGUGGGGGAUGAAGGCCUUCGGGUUGUAAACCCCUUUCAGCAGGGACGAAGCGAAAGUGACGGUACCUGCAGAAGAAGCGCCGGCUAACUACGUGCCAGCAGCCGCCGUAAAAC